AUGCCGCGUGUGUGAAGAAGGCCUUCGGGUUGUAAAGCACUUUUGUCCGGAAAGAAAACCUCCGUCCUAAUACGGUGGGGGGAUGACGGUACCGGAAGAAUAAGCACCGGCUAACUACGUGCCAGCAGCCGCGGUAAUACGUAGGGUGCAAGCGUUAAUCGGAAUUACUGGGCGUAAAGCGUGCGCAGGCGGUUCGCUAAGACCGAUGUGAAAUCCCCGGGCUUAACCUGGGAACUGCAUUGGUGACUGGCGGGCUAGAGUAUGGCAGAGGGGGGUAGAAUUCCACGUGUAGCAGUGAAAUGCGUAGAGAUGUGGAGGAAUACCGAUGGCGAAGGCAGCCCCCUGGGCCAAUACUGACGCUCAUGCACGAAAGCGUGGGGAGCAAACAGGAUUAGAUACCCUGGUAGUCCACGCCCUAAACGAUGUCAACUAGUUGUCGGGUCUUCAUUGACUUGGUAACGAAGCUAACGCGUGAAGUUGACCGCCUGGGGAGUACGGUCGCAAGAUUAAAACUCAAAGGAAUUGACGGGGACC
rnacentral:rRNA from 1 species